UGCUAUAUCCUGUUAUACACCUAGGCAUAUGGUAUAUACGUAUACAAAUCUACCAUUUAUACAGUAUGUAGACUAUUGCUCCUAGGCUACAUACCUGUAGAGCAUGUUACUGUACUGAAUACUGUAGGCAAUUGUAACACAAUGAUGGAGAAGGACAACUAUGCAUACAAGAAAAAACUGGAAAUAGUUGCGAGCCUUUGAAAUUAUAAUCACUCUGAUCCAUAUGCACAGCAUAAAUCCAGGCUCUUUGAAAUUGACAAAGACUCUCUCCUUUAACCAAAAUCUCAGGCUCCUCUGAGUCCUCAGCUUGGCCUGCUUUUGCUUCAAAAUCAAAUUCAUUCUUUGAAAUAU
rnacentral:lncRNA from 1 species